AGAUAUGUUUGGGUUACUUGGUGCUGUGAUAUUCUCCCCUCUCCCACCGCACCAGUGACCGAACAUAUUCACA
rnacentral:pre_miRNA from 1 species